rnacentral:lncRNA from 1 species
UUUUGUCCACAUAUUUUUGGUAAAAUUUAAGCAUAAUAAUAGCAAUUUUCACAUAUUCUUGAUUUUGAGAGCUACAAAUUAUCCACUAAUACAAUCAUAAACAUAUAAUACAUAAAAAUCUAAAUGUUCAACACUUGAAAUGUUUAGUUACCAAUAAAUUUCAAAUAUAAAUAGUGUCUUCGGCACUUCAUCAUCAAGCCUGGCUGUAAUUAUGCUCUUCAACCCUAAUUACAUUAACAAGCAAAAGAAACCAGCAAAUGAGCUAUCCAAAAAGAAAACAGAAAGAAAGAAAAACAGCAGCCAAAAAAAGUCAAAAAAUCAGCCUGCUAAUUGAGAAAUUGAACACAAAAAAUCAGCAAAAAUAUAGCUUUAGACACAGCUAAAAAUUUGCCAUAAAAAGGGACCAAACAACAACCAAAAAUUGCCCAUAUCCAAAUGCCAUCUUUUUUACUGCAUGUGAAUACAGUAAAACGUUUUUGUCCCUCUGUGUGUAUAUAUAUUUUGGUCCGUGUGUGCUUCAAUUAUAUAUAUAUAAAAAAAUUUCCCCAGUCAAUGUAUCUGUUUUACACUCAAAUAAAUAAAAAUAAAGAGUUCUAGUAUUGGAAAUGUUUUUCUAUAUUGUGUUACAUGCCUAAUUAACAACACCGUAGAUCUAAAGCUUUAGAGCUCUGGCAAGAAAAGCCCCUAAGUUGGACCACCGUAGAAGAAAAAACAAAAGAAGAGCAGCCAUCCAUCAAUAUUUGGGGACCCGUCUUAAUUAAUGUCCGAGGCAACUAACAUCCUAUGAACAUCACAGGGGUCCACAACUACCUCUUUUUCAAUAGAUCUAAAGCUUUGAAUGAUAAAGCUUUGAAAGGAUGGAUCUACCCAGCAGGGGAAGAAAAAAAGUAAGUUUUUAUCCAUAGAUCUAAAGCUUUGAAAGGAGGGAGCUGCCGAGCUGGGGAAGAAAGAAAACAGAAAAGAAAAAGAAAGAAAAGCUGAGUACAUACCUGCAAAAGCUGGGUGGAGCUGGCGGAAGUGGGAAUUUGGAGUUUGGGAGUAGGGAAUCGGCAGGAGUCGGCAGAGGAAGUGAGGAUUUGGAAAUUAGGUAAAUUGAUGGAGUCAAAGACUUGUAAAUUUUAAUUGAUAUAGGGAUAUUUUUAUAAUUUCACAUUUAUUCGAGCCUAUUGAGCCGUCGUCGAGCUAUUGAGCCUAUGAAACAAAGACUCGUACUCGGCUCGUUUAUAUUAACUAGCGGCUCGAGCUCGGCUCAGCAGGCCUAGUCUCAGCUGACCACUCAUAUAUAUGCAAAGUAUUGCAAUUGAGUGAACCAUGUGAAUGCAAUUUCUUUUGAAGUUUGUCUUUCUGGUGAAAAUCUCUCUCUCUUAAGACAAAAAAGAAAAAAUUUUCUUGCCUAUCGAUCACACAAAAGCAUAGUAGUUUGGUUAAAUUUGUAAAUAAUCAAAAUUAGGGCGUUAUUAAUUUGGCCAAAACCGGCUGAAACCGCACAAAACAAUAGGAAAAGCUUUUCUAGCUAGUUGAGCUGCUGUUUGUACAUUUGACAGCUCAAA